AUUGAACGCUGGCGGCAGGCCUAACACAUGCAAGUCGAGCGGAUGAAGGGAGCUUGCUCCUGGAUUCAGCGGCGGACGGGUGAGUAAUGCCUAGGAAUCUGCCUGGUAGUGGGGGAUAACGUCCGGAAACGGGCGCUAAUACCGCAUACGUCCUGAGGGAGAAAGUGGGGGAUCUUCGGACCUCACGCUACCAGAUGAGCCUAGGUCGGAUUGGCUAGUUGGUGGGGUAAAGGCCUACCAAGGCGACGAUCCGUAACUGGUCUGAGAGGAUGAUCAGUCACACUGGAACUGAGACACGGUCCAGACUCCUACGGGAGGCAGCAGUGGGGAAUAUUGGACAAUGGGCGAAAGCCUGAUCCAGCCAUGCCGCGUGUGUGAAGAAGGUCUUCGGAUUGUAAAGCACUUUAAGUUGGGAGGAAGGGCAGUAAGUUAAUACCUUGCUGUUUUGACGUUACCAACAGAAUAAGCACCGGCUAACUUCGUG
rnacentral:rRNA from 1 species